rnacentral:rRNA from 1 species
GAUGAACGCUGGCGGCGCGCCUAAUACAUGCAAGUCGAGCGAACAGACGAGGAGCUUGCUCCUCUGACGUUAGCGGCGGACGGGUGAGUAACACGUGGAUAACCUACCUAUAAGACUGGGAUAACUUCGGGAAACCGGAGCUAAUACCGGAUAAUAUAUUGAACCGCAUGGUUCAAUAGUGAAAGACGGUUUUGCUGUCACUUAUAGAUGGAUCCGCGCCGCAUUAGCUAGUUGGUAAGGUAACGGCUUACCAAGGCGAUGAUGCGUAGCCGACCUGAGAGGGUGAUCGGCCACACUGGAACUGAGACACGGUCCAGACUCCUACGGGAGGCAGCAGUAGGGAAUCUUCCGCAAUGGGCGAAAGCCUGACGGAGCAACGCCGCGUGAGUGAUGAAGGUCUUCGGAUCGUAAAACUCUGUUAUUAGGGAAGAACAAAUGUGUAAGUAACUAUGCACGUCUUGACGGUACCUAAUCAGAAAGCCACGGCUAACUACGUG